rnacentral:rRNA from 1 species
GAUGAACGCUGGCGGCGUGCUUAACACAUGCAAGUCGAACGAAGAUGCCGGAGUGCUUGCACUUUGGCAGACUGAGUGGCGGACGGGUGAGUAACGCGUGGGUAACCUGCCUUAUACAGGGGGAUAACAGUUGGAAACGACUGCUAAUACCGCAUAAGCGCACGGUAUCGCAUGAUACAGUGUGAAAAACUCCGGUGGUAUAAGAUGGACCCGCGUCUGAUUAGCUUGUUGGUGAGGUUAAACGGGCCCACCAAGGCGACGAUCAGUAGCCGGCCUGAGAGGGUGAACGGCCACAUUGGGACUGAGACACGGCCCAAAACUCCUACGGGAGGCAGCAGUGGGGAAUAUUGCACAAUGGGGGAAACCCUGAUGCAGCAACGCCGCGUGAGUGAAGAAGUAUUUCGGUAUGUAAAGCUCUAUCAGCAGGAAAGAAAAUGACGGUACCUGACUAAGAAGCCCCGGCUAACUACGUG